AGCUAUACCCGGCCUAAUGUGUAUUAAUGUGUAAAGUACAAUGAAUCAGUUAUCAUGAAUGUUAUGAAACAGAAUUUUGUUCAACAGAUUAAUGACCACGACUAUGCUGUCCAGUUUUACACAGCAACACCAGUAUUCGACUCAAAACCGGAUGGAAAACAGAUUCAAGACAUUACUGUAUCACUCGAGAAGAAGUUGAAGUCUAACAGGAUCUGCUGUGUGCCCAAAUGUCACACCACUGGCUAAGGAUUGUUAGAAGGCCAUGGAAAGCCCAGCUAUCAUGCAUUUCCAGCUGAAGAUGAUCCAGUUCAAGCUGUUUGGUUGAAUAAAAUACGAAGAGAUGAAGACAGACAUUUUAAGAUAAGUCACAAUACGGUUGUCUGUUUUCUCCAUUUUGAACGUGACUGUCUUGAUGAAUCUGGAUUUGCUAAGCGGAGGUAUCUAAAACCAGGAGCCAUCCCUACACUAUUCGACUGCUGGAAGGACAAACCACAUCUGUUGAAGCGAAUUUCAAGUGGAACGUGCAAUUAACAAGAUUAAAAGUUUUCACAUAUUUGAUCAGGUCAUUCUGGUUUCUCUGUUUGGGAUAAUUAAUCAAAUUUGGACAGUUUGCUCAUUGCUCACUCUUUUCCAAGACCCAAUUAUACCAUGUCCUGGUGUUUAACAUACAUACCAUUUAUAUGAACAUUUGUUGUUCGUGUACAUCAUACUACAUGUAGGCUAAUGAAAAACCAUUGGCUGUUCAUGUAAUAUUUGUACAUUUUUUGGCUUUGUAUAAAGUUUUUGAUAAUUAUCUUGAUAUAAGCAUUGAUUUAGUUACAGAUUAAUGCUUAAAGAGUACUUAAAGCUACACACCUUGAAAUAAAGUACAUGUUCAUAUAGAUGCAAUUUGAAAGUGUGCAAAAUUUUCAUUAAAUCUAUAGUCUAGUUA